AGCAGUCGCCGCGGUAAUACGAAGGGGGCUAGCGUUGCUCGGAAUGACUGGGCGUAAAGGGCGCGUAGGCGGCAUACACAGUCAGACGUGAAAUUCCUGGGCUUAACCUGGGGGCUGCGUUUGAUACGUGUAGGCUAGAGUGGGGAAGAGGGUUGUGGAAUUCCCAGUGUAGAGGUGAAAUUCGUAGAUAUUGGGAAGAACACCGGUGGCGAAGGCGGCAACCUGGUCCUUGACUGACGCUGAGGCGCGAAAGCGUGGGGAGCAAACAGGAUUAGAUACCCGCGUAGUCCCUGUCUCUUAUAC
rnacentral:rRNA from 1 species